UACGUAGGGGGCAAGCGUUGUCCGGAUUUAUUGGGCGUAAAGAGCGUGUAGGCGGCCAGACAGGUCCGUUGUGAAAACUCGAGGCUCAACCUCGAGAUGUCGAUGGAAACCGUCUGGCUAGAGUCCGGAAGAGGAGUGUGGAAUUCCUGGUGUAGCGGUGAAAUGCGCAGAUAUCAGAAGGAACACCCAUGGCGAAAGCGGCUCUCUGGAACGGUACUGACGCUGAGACGCGAAAGCGUGGGGAGCGAACAGG
rnacentral:rRNA from 1 species